UUUUUUUUUAUUUCAAAGCCACCUCAUUAUCGAUUUUCUGGAGUUUAGCCAUCCAGCUAAGCAAAACUGUCAACAUACUCUGAGCAGUUUUUUAACAGCACAUGUAAGUGUGUCAUGCUCUGUUCAGUUGAUGAUACUUCUCUCCUAUUCUCCUCUAAGCAGACAGAUGCUGUCACACCCCACAUACUCAUCAUCUCCAAAGAUCAACUGCCACUCAUGUUGACAAAAAUACACAUAAUGAUGGAUGUGAAGGCAUCACAGGCAACUGGAAAAAUAUUUAAUUGGAACUUAGCCUUUGUUUCUAUUUGUAUUUGUGUGUCUAUCUGUUCUAUUAUAUUUCGUUUACUUAUUUACUCAGUCUUAAUUUACAUUCAAGUGUAAUUUUUAUGCUUUCUUGU